rnacentral:rRNA from 1 species
GACGAACGCUGGCGGCGUGCUUAACACAUGCAAGUCGAACGGAAAGGCCCCCUUGUGGGGUACUCGAGUGGCGAACGGGUGAGUAACACGUGAGUAACCUACCCUUGACUUUGGGAUAACUUCAGGAAACUGGGGCUAAUACCGGAUAGGAGCUCCUGCUGCAUGGUGGGGGUUGGAAAGUUUCGGCGGUUGGGGAUGGACUCGCGGCUUAUCAGCUUGUUGGUGGGGUAGUGGCUCACCAAGACUUUUACGGGUAGCCGGCCUGAGAGGGUGACCGGCCACGUUGGGACUGAGAUACGGCCCAGACUCCUACGGGAGGCAGCAGGGGGGAAUAUUGCACAAUGGGAGGAAGCCUGAUGCAGCAACGCCGCGUGCAGGAUGACGGCCUUCGGGUUGUAAACCGCUUUCGCCUGUGACGAAGCGUGAGUGACGGUAAUGGGUAAAGAAGCACCGGCUAACUACGUG